rnacentral:rRNA from 1 species
CCUGCGGAAGGAUCAUUAUCAAAACAGCGGACUUCGGUCCUUGCUGCACCCUUGUCUUUUGCGUACCGUAUGUUUCCUCGGCGGGCUUGCCUGCCGGUUGGACAUUAUCAAACCUUUUUGUAGUUGCAAUCAGCGUCAGAAAAUAAACAAUAAUUACAACUUUCAACAACGGAUCUCUUGGUUCUGGCAUCGAUGAAGAACGCAGCGAAAUGCGAAAAGUAGUGUGAAUUGCAGAAUUCAGUGAAUCAUCGAAUCUUUGAACGCACAUUGCGCCCCUUGGUAUUCCAUGGGGCAUGCCUGUUCGAGCGUCAUUUUGUACCCUCAAGCACUGCUUGGUGUUGGGCGUUUGUCCUGCAAAGGACUCGCCUGAAAGCGAUUGGCGGCCAACGUACUGGUGGUAGAGCGCAGCACAAUUUGCGUCUCUCCCUUCUACGUCGGCGUCCAUGAAGCCUUUUUUCAACGUUUGACCUCGGAUCAGGUAGGGAUACCCGCUGAACUUAAGCAUAUCAAUAA